rnacentral:rRNA from 1 species
CAUUUYUUAUUGAUAUAAUAAUAAGUAUUACCUGCUCAAUGAAUUUUUAAAUAGCCGCGGAAAUUUAACCGUGCUAAGGUAGCAUAAUCAUUAGUCCCUUAAUUAGAGACUAGCAUGAAUGGUAAAACAUUUCAAUUUCUUUAUUAAUUAUUUUUUUUUUCAAACUUAAAUUAAGAAUAAAAAUGUUCUUAUUAUAUAAUUAGACGACAAGACCCUUUUGAACUUUACUUUAGUUUAGCUGGGGUAGCUAAAUAAUAAUAAUCUUUAUAUAAAAUAUUAUAAUAAAUGAUCCAAUAAAAUUGAUUAUUUGAACAAGUUACCAUAGGGAUAACAGCGUAAUAUUGUUUUAAAGUUCUUAUUUAAAAUAAUGAUUGCGACCUCGAUGUUGAAUUAAUGUAACUUUUUAAUUGCAGUAAAUUUUUAAGUAGGUCUGUUCGACCUUUAAAUCAUUAC